AAAAGUCAAACUUGGUUUCUGCUUACUUGUUUGAUUUUUAGUGGCUCCUCCAGCUCCAGAACCUUUAGCAAGCAGCUUCCUUUGAAAGUUUAAGAUGGAAAUCUCUAAGCUGGCCCUGUGCUUCCCCUGACAAGUGUGUAAUCGAUGGGAAAUCUCUCACUGGAGGCUAUCCUAUCUGGAGUCUUGAUAAAAGGCACUUUCAGAGAGGUGAAAGGCUCUUAGAGACCUUUUACAAAGAACUAAGCUGGCCUAAAAUUGUCACCUUUAUCCUCCCAGGUGACCAUUCACUAUCACCAACUCUCUGGCAGAGAAAAAUGUGAGGAUACAAACACAAAGAAAAUCACUCCCUUAAUACACACGGGGUAGAAUCCUCUUUGGGUCAGACAGAAAAGCAGUGACUUGGGAGAAAAUUGUGAAGGGUGGUUGGAUGCUAGGAGCUGACUGGGCUGCAUCUUUGAGCUUUAGUUCUACCCUUCCAAGUCUCCUGUCCUCCUUGAAGUUCUCUGCUUUUGAUUUCUGUGGCCACCAGCACAUAUGGCCCUGUUUCUCUUGAACAUACUUGAAAUGGGCCAAUACUUUCUAAAAGGCUUUACUAACACACUGAAGAAAUGAACAUAGAGAAAUACCAAUGGCAUUGAGAACAAUCCAGUUUACUCACAACUAUAUCUUGGGCCUAAGAAUCCCAGAGCAAGCAUAGGAGACCUUCAUCAAGCUUUCCCAAAGCCCCUAUUCAAUUCCACCCUCUGCCUUGCUUCUUCUCCAACAUUCCUGCCCUUCCCUCAGCCAUAAGGCUUCUGGGUACCAUUUUGUUUUCUGGCACCUGGAAGAUAGUAUGAAGGAUCCUCUUGUUCAAACCAAAUCAGAGGAGGGAAGACCAGUGAACAGAUAAUUGAACGCUGAAUUAAAGCAGUGCAGGUGGAGCGAGGCAGCAGUAUAAAGACAAAAUAAACAUUUAGGAGUUGGAAUAGAUGGAAUCUGGGGACCUGUUAGACCUGGAGUGGAAAGAUUGAAUCUUUUUUUUUCUUGUUUUAUAAGUUAUCUGUCAAACUCAAGCUGGGAUUUCCAAUACCAUUUGGAUGUUGGAAAUAGUAUUGCUAAAAAACAAAUUAACAUCAGAAACAGGAGAAGCACAGAGAGAUACAAGAGAUAGAGAAAUUUUGUUAUUAAUAAAGAUAUAUGUAACAGGGUGUCACUUUUUAAAAAAUCUAAUUUGUUGUUA
rnacentral:lncRNA from 10 species